AGCGAACGCUGGCGGCAGGCCUAACACAUGCAAGUCGAGCGCCCAGCAAUGGGAGCGGCAGACGGGUGAGUAACGCGUGGGGAUGUGCCAAAUGGUACGGAAUAACCCAGGGAAACUUGCACUAAUACCGUAUGUGCCCUUCGGGGGAAAGAUUUAUCGCCAUAGGAUCAACCCUCGUAGGAUUAGCUAGUUGGUGGGGAAAAGGCCUACCAAGGCGGCGUGCCUUAGCUGGUGUGAGAGGAUGAUCAGCCACACUGGGACGGAGACACGGCCCAGACUCCUACGGGAGGCAGCAGUGGGGAAUAUUGGACAGUGGGCGCAAGCCUGAUCCAGCCAUGCCGCGUGAGUGAUGAAGGCCUUAGGGUUGUAAAGCUCGUUCACCUGGGAAGAUAAUGACGGUACCAGGAGAAGAAGCCCCGGCUAACUUCGUGCCAGCCGCCGCGGUAAAAC
rnacentral:rRNA from 1 species